GUUUGCUUUCCCCUCUCUGUGAUUAAAGUAAGAUAACUCUGGUCAAUUUUCCUAACAUUCAAUCAUUAUAGGAAGAUGAUAUAGUUCUGUUUUCAUUUAUAGUCUUUUUCAGAAAAGUUCUAAUUGUUUUGGGUAGGUCCCAAUUACAAUUUUACACUCUAGCAUUCGGCAUCAGUUAGAAGCUUCUGGAAUAAAAUGGUGGCUAUGGUGUACUGUUUUGUGUUUGUGUUAGGCGUUAUUACACUUCUUUCAUGUAUUUGUCUUAAGGGAUCGAGUAAAGCAGAUAAGUUACAUCAGCUUUCUGCUUCAUUUGAGUUCUGGCAUAAUGGUAUACACCAUACCGAUCUUAGAAACAAAUGCCUUUACGAGUAGAAUGGCGAAUGCUGUUGGACAGUUUUUGAUGCAUACCACAACUUGAAACAGUGUAUUCUUGACAGCACAUUUAAUGUUUUUCACCGGCAUAUUGUACCUCAAAAAGUAGAAAAAAAGUGUUUUGUUUUAAUAAUUUCCAGGAUAUGGCUUUA
rnacentral:lncRNA from 1 species